rnacentral:lncRNA from 1 species
CCAAAUCAGGUUGCAGACAUUCACACUUUGAGAGACAAGAUAGGUAGAAAAGGUUUUGUUGAAUAUGAUUUCGCAAGGUUGUUCUAAUGACAUGGAACAUUCAUCGUUGAGUAGGGAAAAAAAAGAUAUACAUACACCUCAAAAUUACAAAGAUAAACACAGUAAAAACCAUAGGGAAACAAAAUACUGUUUUGAUCAAGAAUCAAAUUAGGGUUUAAUUCAAAGAGAAACAAAAGAGGGUAGUAUCUUGCAGUAAGAAGAUAGGGUUACCUGGAGCAAAGAGCAAGGGGCAACCUAUCUUACUAAUAAUAAGAAACGGGUUGAGAUAGGCGACAUGUAGCUUGCUUCCAAGCCGACCCGGCCGCGAGGAAUCAAGAGAUCUUUGACGGUGCUGACUUUCUCGAGUGAUGGAAGAAGGCGCCCAAAAGUGACAAGCAGUCGCGGUCGAAGCUUGGCUCUAGGCGAUAGGCUAGCAGUAAUCUUGGUUAUAGUGAGUUAGAACGAUUUGGAGAAUAAAGAUUUGGGGGAGAGUUUAGAGAGAGCGCGAGACAUGGGAGAAAGAAGGAGACUAAGAAAAUAAA